CAGCAAGCACCAAGAUUCCAAGUCCUACAGAGAGAGAGAGAGAGAGAGAGAGAGAGAGAGAGAGAUGGGGAGUCAUGGUUAAAAGAAUGAAGUAGUACCAAAUAUCUGUAAAGGGGAAGUAUCAUGUGUUCUAGCGAGCAAAAGGGAGGUCCAGGCUAGAGACAGGAAGAGAGAAUAAUCUCUCUUCUCGAUCUUCCCUUCCUUUUGGUUUGUGACAGCUUUUCUCAAGGGUUUCUUGAAGAGAGCCAGUUUUCCCUAAGGAAAAAGCCGGUCAAUGAAAAAAUUCAGUUGAUCAAUACUUGAGAAGCGUCGGAAUAACGAAACCAAACUUCUGCAUGGAGAGCUAGUAAUGUUGGGAAGAUGGGUAAGAAAGGUAGCUGGUUUUCUGCAAUCAAAAGGGUCUUCACACCCCACUCAAAGGAGAAACUAGUCAAUGAAUCAAAGAAGAAAUCUUCAAAGAAGGACAAGAAAAAGGGGCAAGCGAAGCAGAGACAUGGAGAGACAAAUUCAUUCAUUCCAUUCUUCAGAGAGCCGAGCAGUAUCGAGAAGAUCCUGGGAGAUGCCGAGAGAGAGCACAAAAUCGUUUAUAGACCUGCCACGCCCCCUCUUCCCGAGCAACCACGGACAUCUUCAGCUUAUGUGGCUCCUCGAGUGGCUUCUCAUCGGGCUCCUUCUCCAAAG